AUUAACCUUUGUGUAAUUUUUGGCUUCACCACUUAUAACUCUUAACAAAAAAAAAAAUGUAAAAAAUAAAACUGCACAAAGCAUACUUACGUCACAUCAUCAAGAUCAGGCAAAUCAACAUUUGCGUUAAAACAAGUCAGUGACAUUAUUUUGUUGGCAAUGCAGAAAAAACAAAAAAAAAUCCCCGUGUGAUUCAAGUGUUAAUAAAAAAAAUAUUAAAUUCAUAAAGAAAUUGUUACAUAUUUCCUAUGCCCAUAAAAUCAAUGCUUAUGAACUUUGGUACUUUCAACAUACUUGCGAACAAUGGUAGCAAACCACAAAUAUUUUCACAACCCCCAUUGUUUUCCAGUCACCAUGACCCACAGCGACGCAGCCACAUUGAGGCUGUCAAAGCGAAAUAAACACUCGCCUGACCAAAUAUCCUGGGAGCGUAAAAGUUUAAUCAAAAUUCAAUUCAUUCCCGUGAACUUUCAAUAAAACUCAAAACCAUAAGUGGCACUUCUGAUUAACAACACGAUGUGUUGUUUCUUUUGUUGUUGCUGUUGUUUGUCCACCUCUCCAAAUGAGGCAAAGGUAAAUCAAACCUGGCGAUCUUAACAAUGCAAAGUAGCAAAAAUUUUCAAGGAUCGAAUAUGAACACACUCUCUCAAUCAAACCAACACUUAUGUGAACUACAGUGUGUGACACACUCAGUAGUGUGGUACAUGUCGGCAUUUGGACAGUGGUAUGCGAUGAAAUUUAGUUUAAUAAACCUCAGCUUCAGUAAAUAAAAUACAAGAAUGAGUAAAAA
rnacentral:sRNA from 1 species